AUGUUAGUCGAGGGUGNUUNUUCUUCGGAAGAGGUAACCGGCAGACGGCUCAGUAACACGUGGACAACUUACCCUUGGGACCGGGAUAACCCCUGGGAAACUGGGGCUAAUACCGGAUAGAGCAUCGGUUGCUGGAAUGCACGAUGGUCUAAAGCUGAGGCGCCCAAGGAUAGGUCUGCGGCCGAUUAGGUUGUUGUUGAUGUGACGGAUCAACAAGCCUACGAUCGGUACGGGUUGUGAGAGCAAUAGCCCGGAGAUGGGUUCUGAGAGAAGAACCCAGGUCCUACGGGACGCAUCAGGCGCGAAAACUUUACAAUGUGCGAAAGCACGAUAAGGGAACUCUGAGUGCCUCCUAAGGAGGCUGUUCGGGUGUCUAAAAAGCAUCUGAAGGAAGGGCUGGGUAAGACCGGUGCCAGCCGCCGCGGUAACACCGGCAGCCCAAGUGGUAGCCACGCUUAUUGGGUCUAAAGCGUCCGUAGCCGGCCAAGUAAGUUCUUUGGGAAAUUUGACCGCUUAACGGUCAAGCUAUCAGGGAAUACUGCUUGGCUUGGGACCGGGAGAGGUCAGAGGUACUCCAAGGGUAGGGGUGAAAUCCGUUAAUCCUUGGGGGACCACCGGUAGCGAAGGCGUCUGACCAGACCGGGUCCGACGGUGAGGGACGAAGGCUAGGGUCGCGAACCGGAUUAGAUACCCGGGUAGUCCUAGCUGUAAACGAUGCGGGCCAGGUGUUGGCAUUACUGCGAGUGAUGCCAGUGCCGAAGGGAAGCCGUUAAGCCCGCCAUCUGGGGAGUACGGUCGCAAGGCUGAAACUUAA
rnacentral:rRNA from 1 species